rnacentral:rRNA from 1 species
AGAGUUUGAUCAUGGCUCAGAUUGAACGCUGGCGGCAUGCUUUACACAUGCAAGUCGAACGGCAGCGGGGGCUUCGGCCCGCCGGCGAGUGGCGAACGGGUGAGUAAUGCAUCGGAACGUGCCCAGUGGUGGGGGAUAACUACGCGAAAGCGUAGCUAAUACCGCAUACGCCCUGAGGGGGAAAGCGGGGGAUCUUCGGACCUCGCGCGAUUGGAGCGGCCGAUGUCGGAUUAGCUAGUUGGUGAGGUAAAGGCUCACCAAGGCGACGAUCCGUAGCUGGUCUGAGAGGAUGAUCAGCCACACUGGGACUGAGACACGGCCCAGACUCCUACGGGAGGCAGCAGUGGGGAAUUUUGGACAAUGGGGGCAACCCUGAUCCAGCCAUGCCGCGUGAGUGAAGAAGGCCUUCGGGUUGUAAAGCUCUUUCGGACGGGAAGAAAUGGGGCUCUCUAACAUAGGGCGUCGAUGACGGUACCGUAAGAAGAAGCACCGGCUAACUACGUGCCAGCAGCCGCGGUAA